rnacentral:rRNA from 1 species
UACGUAGGGGGCAAGCGUUGUCCGGAAUCAUUGGGCGUAAAGAGCGUGUAGGCGGCCCGGUAAGUCUGUUGUGAAAGUCCAGGGCUCAACCCUGGGAAAGCCGAUGGAUACUGCCGGGCUAGAGUUCGGAAGAGGCGAGUGGAAAUUCCUGGUGUAGCGGUGAAAUGCGCAGAUAUCAGGAGGAACACCGGUGGCGAAGGCGGGUCUCUGGGCCGAUACUGACGCUGAGGAGCGAAAGCGUGGGGAGCGAACAGGA